rnacentral:rRNA from 1 species
AACGAACGCUGGCGGCAUGCCUAACACAUGCGAGUCGAACGAGACCUUCGGGUCUAGUGGCGCACGGGUGCAUAACGCGUGGGAACCUGCCCUUAGGUUCGGAAUAACUCCCCGAAAGGGGUGCUAAUACCGGAUAAUGUCUUCGGACCAAAGAUUUAUCGCCUUUGGAUGGGCCCGCGUUGGAUUAGCUAGUUGGUAGGGUAAAAGCCUACCAAGGCGACGAUCCAUAGCUGGUCUGAGAGGAUGAUCAGCCACACUGGGACUGAGACACGGCCCAGACUCCUACGGGAGGCAGCAGUGGGGAAUAUUGGACAAUGGGCGAAAGCCUGAUCCAGCAAUGCCGCGUGAGUGAUGAAGGCCUUAGGGUUGUAAAGCUCUUUUACCCGGGAUGAUAAUGACAGUACCGGGAGAAUAAGCGCCGGCUAACUCCGUG